GCCGCCCUCUUUCUUCGUGCUUAACACAUGCAAGUCGAACGGAAAGGCCCUGCUUUUGUGGGGUGCUCGAGUGGCGAACGGGUGAGUAACAAGUGAGUAACCUGCCCUUGACUUUGGGAUAACUUCAGGAAACUGGGGCUAAUACCGGAUAGGAGCUCCUGCUGCAUGGUGGGGGUUGGAAAGUUUCGGCGGUUGGGGAUGGACUCGCGGCUUAUCAGCUUGUUGGUGGGGUAGUGGCUUACCAAGGCUUUGACGGGUAGCCGGCCUGAGAGGGUGACCGGCCACAUUGGGACUGAGAUACGGCCCAGACUCCUACGGGAGGCAGCAGUGGGGAAUAUUGCACAAUGGGCGGAAGCCUGAUGCAGCAACGCCGCGUGCGGGAUGACGGCCUUCGGGUUGUAAACCGCUUUCGCCUGUGACGAAGCGUGAGUGACGGUAAUGGGUAAAGAAGCACCGGCUAACUACGUG
rnacentral:rRNA from 1 species